AUGCAAGAAAACAUACAGCCUGGAGCUAGUCUGGUGAUUACCGAUUCCUACAAAGUUCGAAGGUAUUCAUUCAGGUGUCGGUUUGUAUUAGUUGAGCGCGGAUCUAAGGAUUCAGUGUCGAUGGAAGUGUUGAGUUAUUAUUGUACAAAUUUUGAAGGUGAAGGUUUUCUUGGUGAACAUGGAGUAUGCGGUUUUGAUAGUGAAGGUUUUAAGGUUCAUUGA